rnacentral:rRNA from 1 species
UACGAAGGGGGCUAGCGUUGCUCGGAAUUACUGGGCGUAAAGGGCGCGUAGGCGGACAGUUUAGUCAGAGGUGAAAGCCCAGGGCUCAACCUUGGAAUUGCCUUUGAUACUGGCUGUCUUGAGUUCGGGAGAGGUGAGUGGAAUGCCGAGUGUAGAGGUGAAAUUCGUAGAUAUCGGGAGGAACACCAGUGGCGAAGGCGGCUCUCUGGGCAGAUACUGACGCUGAGACGCGAAAGCAUGGGGAGCAAACAGG